rnacentral:rRNA from 1 species
UACGGAGGGUGCCCUCUUUCUCCGGAUUUACUGGGUUUAAAGGGUGCGUAGGCGGAUUUGUAAGUCCGAGGUGAAAUCUCCGAGCUUAACUCGGAAACUGCCUUGGAUACUAUAAGUCUUGAAUGACGUUGAGGUUAGCGGAAUAUGUCAUGUAGCGGUGAAAUGCUUAGAUAUGACAUAGAACAUCUAUUGCGAAGGCAGCUAACUAAGCGUAUAUUGACGCUGAUGCACGAAAGCGUGGGGAUCAAACAGG